rnacentral:rRNA from 1 species
UAGGGAAUCUUCCACAAUGGACGCAAGUCUGAUGGAGCAACGCCGCGUGAGUGAAGAAGGCUUUCGGGUCGUAAAACUCUGUUAUUGAAGAAGAACGUGUGUGACAGUAACUGGUCAUGCAGUGACGGUAUUCAAUCAGAAAGUCACGGCUAACUACGUGCCAGCAGCCGCGGUAAUACGUAGGUGGCAAGCGUUGUCCGGAUUUAUUGGGCGUAAAGCGAGUGCAGGCGGUCUUUUAANUCUGAUGUGAAAGCCUUCGGCUUAACCGA